AAAUUAGGAUAUCCUUUUAAACUCAAAAAACUAUCCCAAUCAAAUUCAAAAUAAAGUGCAAAAUAUUUUUGGAAUAACUAUACCUUAUUCAAAUUUAUUACAUAAGUGGUGAUAUAUAUUUGCAUAAGUUCAUCUUCAUUAGUCUGGUCUUUACCUAUCCUGGAUAAGUAGAAUAGAGGAAAAAGAUUCUAAUUGAGAGUAUCUCAAACCCAUCCACAAAAAUUUAAUCCACUAUCAAACAAUGACCUUCUGCCACC
rnacentral:lncRNA from 1 species